rnacentral:lncRNA from 1 species
UUGCUCCCACUAUAUUGGUGCAUCAUCUUUUAACUUGUGCAUCAUAAAUUUUACGCAUUUUCUUUCUUCAAUUUCUUGAAGUUUACAAGUUAUGGAGCUCUAUGAGCCAACCAAAACACAUCUCAAUAUGUAGAUGUCUCUAAAAGCUAGGGAGGUCAAUCUUCAUUUGAAAGUCUCUAUGUGUCUCCUUAUACAAAGUAAUUCUCUUAUUUUUAGGGACAAAUAAAAAUAAUUUUCCACAUAAAACUUCCUCACAAAAUGGCUAGUUAUCUGGAAAUUGUUGAUCACAAUUAUAAUUAGGGCAUCACUAAUGUAGAUAACUUCAUAUUAAUUGCACCGGAUUUGCACACCAAUCAUCAAAGCUACAAAAUUGAUGAAAUAUUUGUCGCAUGUUUUGACAAUCUCUAUGACACUACCUUUGAACUUAAUAAAAUCAUCUCUCAAUAGAUCCAAG